rnacentral:rRNA from 1 species
GACCAACCCUUAAAGACUGCUGCAUCUUUAGGAUAUUCUAGUCCAACAUCGAGGUCACAAACUCUCUUUUCGAUAAGAGCUCUCAAAGAGAAUUAUGCUGUUAUCCCUAUGGUAACUAAUUUCAUUAAUCAAAAUUUUUGGAUCAAGACUCGGUAGUUUUUUAAUAAUAAAGAAGCUUUGUCUGUUCCAUAGUCGCCCCAACCAAAAUUUUAAGUAGAUUAAUAUUUAGAUUUAUAUCAUUACUCUCAACUUACUUUUUUAAAGCUCAAUAGGGUCUUCUUGUCUUUCAAUUUUAUUCAGGUUUCUUCACCUGAAAAUCAAGUUCUGAAAAAUUAUAUAGAGACAGUUUUGUUCACGUCAAACCAUUCAUACUAGCCCUCAAUUAUAGGGCAAAUGAUUAUGCUACCUUUGCACGGUCAGAGUACCGCGGCCGUUAAAAACUAUUCACCGGGCAGGUCCGACUC